rnacentral:rRNA from 1 species
AUUGAACGCUGGCGGCAUGCCUUACACAUGCAAGUCGAACGGCAGCACGGGAGCAAUCCUGGUGGCGAGUGGCGAACGGGUGAGUAAUAUAUCGGAACGUGCCCAGUCGUGGGGGAUAACGCAGCGAAAGCUGUGCUAAUACCGCAUACGAUCUACGGAUGAAAGCGGGGGACCGUAAGGCCUCGCGCGAUUGGAGCGGCCGAUGUCAGAUUAGGUAGUUGUAGGGGUAAAGGCUCACCAAGCCAACGAUCUGUAGCUGGUCUGAGAGGACGACCAGCCACACGGGGACUGAGACACGGCCCAGACUCCUACGGGAGGCAGCAGUGGGGAAUUUUGGACAAUGGGCGCAAGCCUGAUCCAGCAAUGCCGCGUGCAGGAAGAAGGCCUUCGGGUUGUAAACUGCUUUUGUACGGAACGAAACGGCGAGCUCUAAUACAGUUUGCUAAUGACGGUACCGUAAGAAUAAGCACCGGCUAACUACGUGCCAGCAGCCGCCGUAA